GAUGAACGCUGGCGGCGUGCCUAAUACAUGCAAGUAGAACGCUGAAGCUUGGUGCUUGCACCGAGCGGAUGAGUUGCGAACGGGUGAGUAACGCGUAGGUAACCUGCCUCUUAGCGGGGGAUAACUAUUGGAAACGAUAGCUAAUACCGCAUAAAAGACGAUAUCGCAUGAUAUUGAUUUGAAAGGUGCAAAUGCAUCACUAAGAGAUGGACCUGCGUUGUAUUAGCUAGUUGGUGAGGUAACGGCUCACCAAGGCAACGAUACAUAGCCGACCUGAGAGGGUGAUCGGCCACACUGGGACUGAGACACGGCCCAGACUCCUACGGGAGGCAGCAGUAGGGAAUCUUCGGCAAUGGGGGCAACCCUGACCGAGCAACGCCGCGUGAGUGAAGAAGGUUUUCGGAUCGUAAAGCUCUGUUGUAAGAGAAGAACGAGUGUGAGAGUGGAAAGUUCACACUGUGACGGUAACUUACCAGAAAGGGACGGCUAACUACGUGCCAGCAGCCGCGGUAAUACGUAGGUCCCGAGCGUUAUCCGGAUUUAUUGGGCGUAAAGCGAGCGCAGGCGGUUAGAUAAGUCUGAAGUUAAAGGCUGUGGCUUAACCAUAGUACGCUUUGGAAACUGUUUAACUUGAGUGCAAGAGGGGAGAGUGGAAUUCCAUGUGUAGCGGUGAAAUGCGUAGAUAUAUGGAGGAACACCGGUGGCGAAAGCGGCUCUCUGGCUUGUAACUGACGCUGAGGCUCGAAAGCGUGGGGAGCAAACAGG
rnacentral:rRNA from 1 species